rnacentral:lncRNA from 1 species
CAAAAAGAAUUGAAAUUAAUGGAGAAACAGAGAUUGCAGGAGAAGAUGGAGAGAGAAGAAGAAAUAUUUUCCAUUUCCUUGCUUUCUAUGACGUGUUCCCCUCUACAUAUAUCUUUUACCCCUCAACAUUACACGUGUAACUAACCAACAAAUGAAUGAUUCAAAGAAAAAACAGUCACAACAAAAUAACAAAAUCACAGCUGCCAUCUUUUCCACUCUCUUUGUGCCUUCUCGAAUAUUCCUUAGGUAAUGUAAUCUUUGAGGUAUGUUGGUGCCCUGCGCAUACGAACUGGACCUUUUGUGUGCUCCUCAACCAGCUGGGCUUCUUUCUCUGUUUCCCAUGCUGACUUGUCAUUAAUCUCGGGCAAGGUUGUAUCAUUCCCCAUCCCUUGAAAAUUUACCUUGUCCUCAAGGUGAAGCUCGGGAUAUAGCUUGUAAAACUCAUCAUAAGCCUCUCCCAGGACAUACUCAUCAUUAGUACCCAUCAACAACAAGAAUUUGCUGCGGCAGCGAUGGUUUGCACUAUAUUUCUGAUCACAAUUAUAACAUAACCCUUUUUCUCUUUUAUCCCGUAACUCAGCUGGAGUAAGUCGACGGAUUGGUAAAUUUAGGGUUGGUAAUAAUGGAGGUUGAGAUGGUGGUUUUGGUGUAGUAAUAACAGGGGCAGCAAGAGUAUUGGUAUUUUGAAAAGUGGAAGAGUUUGAUAAAACAGGGGAAAAAUUUUGUGGAGCUUGCGGUGUAGUAGGAGACCACUUUGACCAAGAACGACUGGUUGUUUUAGCUUAAUCAGAUCUAGCCUCAUAAGCUCUAGCAAGAGCAAAGGCUUCCAUGAGCGAAGUAGGUCGAGUAAACAACAACUCAUGACGGGUAUCAGGUUUUAAACCCGUGAUAAAGAAACUAAUUAACAAAGGCUCAGAUAUACCAGUAAUUUUGUUCAUUAAGUCUUCAAAAGCAGACUGAAAUUCGGCAACUGUGGUGGUCUGUGUUAACUUUGAAAGAUUCCCUUGAUGGUCUUCAUACAUGGAAGCUCCAAAGCGGCUCUUAAGACUGACCAAAAAACUUCACCAUGUGGUUAAGAGAUUGUUAGCUUUCAUCCAUUGAUACAAAGCAGCAGCUCUCCCUUCCAUGUGAAACGAUGCAAUGCAAAGACACAAAUUAUCUGGGGUCCCAUGGAGGUCAAAAAACUCGUUGAUGCGAAAAUCCCACCCGGUCGGAUUAGAGCCGUCAAACUUGGGAAUGUCCAUUUUCAUGGAACGUAAAAGCGGGGAAAAAUCUGUGCCCCCAGCAGAACCCUUUGUAAACGCUGACAUCAACUCCGAUGGUCGUGAAGGGCCACUCAAAACGCCGACAGACCCACGGAUUUGAGAUUGUAAUUCCUCAAAACGGGAAUCUACAGUGGACAUGUAUUGUUGUAAGGUCUGAUGCACAGAGAGUGUUUGCUUCUCAAGGAGCUCCUUCAUGGCGGAAAGAACUCCAGAAUCAAUCGUCUUUGUUGUCUCGGUCAUGGUGGAUUUUUUUUUUUUUGAAGAAGAAGAAGAAGGAGAAGAAGGCAAUGAAAGCACCAAUUGAUACAACUCUGCAACUCAGAGUUUAUAUCACAUAGCUACACUUUUUGGAGUAAGUGCUGACUCCCGCAAAAAGAAUUGAAAUUAAUGGAGAAACAGAGAUUGCAGGAGAAGACGGAGAGAGAAGAAGAAAUAUUUUCCAUUUCCUUGCUUUCUAUGACGUGUUCCCCUCUACAUAUAUCUUUUACCCCUCAACAUUACACGUGUAACUAACCAACAAAUGAAUGAUUCAAAGAAAAAACAGUCACAACAAAAUAACAAAAUCACAGCUGCCAUCUUUUCCACUCUCUUUGUGCCUUCUCGAAUAUUCCUUAGGUAAUGUAAUCUUUGAGGUAUGUUGGUGCCCUGCGCAUACGAACUGGACCUUUUGUGUGCUCCUCAACCAGCUGGGCUUCUUUCUCUGUUUCCC